rnacentral:rRNA from 1 species
GACGAACGCUGGCGGCGGGCUUAACACAUGCAAGUCGAACGGAAAGGCCCUGCGUUGGUGCGCUGCUCGAGUAGCGGACGUGUAGGUAUCACGUGGGUACCCUGCCCUUGUUUGUGGGAUAACUUCAGGAAACUCUGGCUAAUACCGGAUAGGAGCUCCUCCUGCAUGGUGGGGGUUGGAUAGUUUCGGCGGUUGGGUAUUGACUAGCGUCUUCUCAGCUUGGUGGUGGGGUAGUGGCUGACCAAGUCUUUGACGGGUAGCGGGCAUGAGAGGGUGACUGGCCAGAUUGGGACGGAGAUGCGGCCCAGAUUCCUACGGGAGGCAGCAGUGGGGAAUAUUGAACAAUGGGCGGAACCCUGAUGCAGCAACGCCGCGUGCGGGAUGACGGCCUUCGGGUUGUAAACCGCUUGCGCCUGUGACGAAGCGUGAGUGACCGUAAUGGGUACAGAAGCACCGGCUAACUACGUG